rnacentral:rRNA from 1 species
CCUACGUGGUGCAGCAGUGGGGAAUAUUGCGCAAUGGGCGAAAGCCUGACGCAGCGACGCCGCGUGAGGGAUGAAGGUCUUCGGAUCGUAAACCUCUGUCAGCAGGGAAGAACGGUCACUGUGCUAAUCAGCAGUGAAUUGACGGUACCUGCAAAGGAAGCACCGGCUAACUCCGUGCCAGCAGCCGCGGUAAUACGGAGGGUGCGAGCGUUAAUCGGAAUUACUGGGCGUAAAGCGCUCGUAGGCGGGAUGUCAAGUCAGGGGUGAAAUCCCCGCGCGCAACGUGGGAACUGCCUUUGAAACUGGCAAAGUUGAGUGUGUGAGAGGAGAGUGGAAUUCCAGGUGUAGGAGUGAAAUCCGUAGAGAUCUGGAGGAACAUCAGUGGCGAAGGCGACUAUCUGGCACAUAACUGACGCUGAGGAGCGAAAGCGUGGGUAGCAAACAGGAUUAGAUACCCCAGUAGGC